rnacentral:sRNA from 1 species
UCGUGUUGCUGGAUGAGGUGGGCAAGC